rnacentral:rRNA from 1 species
ACAUCUAAGGAAGGCAGCAGGCACGCAAAUUACCCACUCCCAGUUCGGGGAGGUAGUGACGAAAAAUACUGAUGCGGGACUCGUUCCGAGGCCUCGCCAUCAGAUUGAGCUCAGUCUAAACCAUUGGACAAGUUUCAACUGGAGGGCAAGUCUGGUGCCAGCAGCCGCGGUAAUUCCAGCUCCAGUAGCGUAUGCUAAAGUUGCUGCGGUUAAAAAGCUCAUAGUUGGAUCUCACGGCCGGAACGGCGGCCCACUAAAGGUUUCGGCCAGCGCCGUGGUUGGUCAGUGUACUUGUAUGCUCGGCCUCUGCGGUUUGCUUGCGUCUGCCCGGUGGUCAACUGUCCGUCUCCGGCUCGAGACUCCCGCUGGKUCGCGAGGGAUGCCUUGUCCUGUACGGGUGUCCCGAGUGACCGGCACGUUCACUUUGAAUAAAUUAGAGUGCUCAAAGCARGCAAAGUCUUACSCCUGAAUGAUGGUGCAUGGAAUGAUGGAACAGGACCUCGGUUCUGCUCUUUGGUCGAUUUUUUGGAAUCGAGGUAAUGAUUAAAAGAAACAGACGGGGGCAUUCGUAUUGCGACGCUAGAGGUGAAAUUCUUGGACCGUCGCAAGACGAACUACUGCGAAAGCAUUUGCCAAGAAUGUUUUCCUUAAUCAAGAACGAAAGUUAGAGGAUCGAAKGCGAUCASAUACCGCCCUAGUUCUAACCAUAAACGAUGCUACCUGGCGAUCCGUCGGCGUCAUACCCACGACUCGACGGGGAGCCUCCGGGAAACCAAASGCUUUGGGUUCCGGGGGAAGUAUGGUUGCAAAGCUGAAACUUAAAGGAAUUGACGGAAGGGCACCACCAGGAGUGGAGCCUGCGGCUUAAUUUGACUCAACACGGGGAAACUUACCAGGUCCAGACACCGAAAGGAUUGACAGANUGAGAGCUCUNUCUCGAUACNGUGGUUGGUGGUGCAUGG